GAAAUCGCGGAUAUGUACGUUCCACUUUAGUUCAUUCGAAGUGCAAGCUGCCAGCGCGAAGCGCCGGCAAAGCAUCCCCAAAGUCGAGUUUGAUGAUGGGAGAGUGAAUUAAAGGGAACGUACAUAUGGUAGGAGAGCGUUCUGUAAGCCGUUGAAGGUGUCUUGAGAAGGAUGCUGGAGGUAUCAGAAGUGCGAAUGCUGACAUGAGUAGCGAUAAAGGGAGUGAAAAGCUCCCUCGCCGAAAGCCCAAGGUUUCCUGCGCAACGUUCAUCGGCGCAGGGUGAGUCGGCCCCUAAGGCGAGGCUGAAAAGCGUAGUCGAUGGGAAACAGGUCAAUAUUCCUGUACCUCUUUGUAAUGCGAUGGGGGGACGGAGAAGGUUAGGUCAUCCGGGUGUUGGACGUCCCGGUUCAAGCGUGUAGGAAGGUCUUCCAGGCAAAUCCGGGAGAUCAAUUCUGAGGCGUGAUAACGAGUGGUCUUUGACCGCGAAGUGAUUGAUACCAUGCUUCCAAGAAAAGCCUCUAAGCUUCAGUUACAAGGAGACCGUACCGCAAACCGACACAGGUGGGCAGGAUGAGAAUUCUAAGGCGCUUGAGAGAACUCAGGAGAAGGAACUCGGCAAAUUGGCACCGUAACUUCGGGAGAAGGUGUGCCCUGCGGGGUGAUGGACUUCGCGUCCUGAGCUCCACGGGGUCGCAGUGAAAUGGCGGUUGUGACUGUUUA
rnacentral:rRNA from 1 species